rnacentral:rRNA from 1 species
AUUGAACGCUGGCGGCAUGCCUUACACAUGCAAGUCGAACGGCAGCACGGGUGCUUGCACCUGGUGGCGAGUGGCGAACGGGUGAGUAAUACAUCGGAACGUACCUUAUCGUGGGGGAUAACGCAGCGAAAGUUGCGCUAAUACCGCAUACGCCCUGAGGGGGAAAGCGGGGGACCGUAAGGCCUCGCGCGAUUAGAGCGGCCGAUGUCUGAUUAGCUUGUUGGUGAGGUAAAAGCUCACCAAGGCGAUGAUCAGUAGCUGGUCUGAGAGGACGAUCAGCCACACUGGGACUGAGACACGACCCAGACUCCUACGGGAGGCAGCAGUGGGGAAUUUUGGACAAUGGGGGCAACCCUGAUCCAGCAAUGCCGCGUGAGUGAAGAAGGCCUUCGGGUUGUAAAGCUCUUUUGUCAGGGAAGAAACAGCAGCUCUAACACAGUCUGCGAAUGACGGUACCUGAAGAAUAAGCACCGGCUAACUACGUGCCAGCCGCCGCCGUAAUAC